GCAUUGGGGUACUCCUUC
rnacentral:snRNA from 1 species